AACAUUCUAAACGGGGAAAUCGGGGCGCGGAAGAGUGGGGUGGGAAACGAACACCGGGUUGCGGACCAGAACUCAGGGUCAGGAACAGGAUCUCAUCAUGUUGUCCAGACUGCUUGAACUCCUGGCUUCAAGCGACCCUCCUCCCUCGGCCUCUCAAAGUUCUGGGAUAACAGGCAUGACCCACCGUACAUGCAUGGGCAUGAUCUGAUUUUUUUUUUAAUUAAAGUUGUCACAGUUAUCAAAGUCUCAUUACUGUUUAACACACAUUUUACCACUCCUUUCCUAAAUAAACCCUCUAACCCAGCAACACGAGUCUCUUUUCUGUCUCUGGAAAAAUCUCAUUUCCCCCACUUUUGUAUCUUCAUUUGUACCAUUCUCCCUUCUCCAUACCAUUCUAAAUCCAACCAACUCUACAAGGCCUAGUUCAAAACCUGAGGCAGUCC
rnacentral:lncRNA from 1 species